GGGGGGAGUGCGACGGGUGAGUACGCGUGGAACGUGCCUUUCACUACGGAAUAGCUUUUGGAAACGAAAGGUAAUACCGUAUACGCCCUCCGGGGGAAAGAUUUAUCGGUGAAAGAUCGGUCCGCGUUAGAUCAGCUAGUUGGUGAGGUAACGGCUCACCAAGGCUACGAUCUAUAGCUGGUCUGAGAGGAUGAUCAGCCACACUGGGACUGAGACACGGCCCAGACUCCUACGGGAGGCAGCAGUGGGGAAUAUUGCACAAUGGGCGCAAGCCUGAUGCAGCCAUGCCGCGUGAAUGAUGAAGGCCUUAGGGUUGUAAAAUUCUUUCGCCAAGGAUGAUAAUGACAGUACUUGGUAAAGAAGCCCCGGCUAACUUCGUGCCAGCAGCCGCGGUAAUACGAAGGGGGCUAGCGUUGUUCGGAAUUACUGGGCGUAAAGCGCACGUAGGCGGACUUUUAAGUCAGAUGUGAAAUCCCGAGGCUCAACCUCGGAACUGCAUUUGAAACUGGGAGUCUAGAGAUCAGGAGAGGUUAGUGGAAUACCGAGUGUAGAGGUGAAAUUCGUAGAUAUUCGGUGGAACACCAGUGGCGAAGGCGACUAACUGGACUGAUACUGACGCUGAGGUGCGAAAGUGUGGGGAGCAAACAGGA
rnacentral:rRNA from 1 species